UUAAACGUCUAUACCACGUUGAAUACAUCCUCUUCCGAUCAUCGAAGUUAAGCAAAGUCAGGCGCGGUACUCAAAUGGGCGACCGCCUGGGAAUACCGCGUGACGUUGGCG
rnacentral:rRNA from 1 species